AAUCAAAGAAGGUAAUAAUCCUGUAGUCGAAAAUGUUGUCUCUCUUGAGUGGAUCCUGAGUACGACGGAGCACGUGAAAUUCCGUCGGAAUCUGGGAGGACCAUCUCCUAAGGCUAAAUACUCUCUAGUGACCGAUAGUGAACCAGUACCGUGAGGGAAAGGUGAAAAGCACCCCGGAAGGGGAGUGAAAUAGAACCUGAAACCGUGUGCUUACAAGUAGUCAGAGCCCGUUAAUGGGUGAUGGCGUGCCUUUUGUAGAAUGAACCGGCGAGUUACGAUUUGAUGCAAGGUUAAGCAGUAAAUGUGGAGCCGUAGCGAAAGCGAGUCUGAAUAGGGCGUUUAGUAUUUGGUCGUAGACCCGAAACCAGGUGAUCUACCCUUGGUCAGGUUGAAGUUCAGGUAACACUGAAUGGAGGACCGAACCGACUUACGUUGAAAAGUGAGCGGAUGAACUGAGGGUAGCGGAGAAAUUCCAAUCGAACCUGGAGAUAGCUGGUUCUCUCCGAAAUAGCUUUAGGGCUAGCCUCAAGUGAUGAUUAUUGGAGGUAGAGCACUGUUUGGACGAGGGGCCCCUCUCGG
rnacentral:rRNA from 1 species